CUCUCUGUUGCUUCCUUGGUGGAUGUGAUGUUGAACUUGCAGCAGUGAGCCAUUACUAGAUGUGAAGGCCUAACCGUGGGUGAGAUCAAGCGUGUGUGUAAGGGGUUACUAUAUAGAUAGAUAGAUUUUAAAAGGGUUGUUGCUCCGUGGGUCUGGGCUGUGUGUUUGUGAUACAUUUAUAAUAUUGUGUUGUUGCCUUUUAAUAAAUACCUUUUAAUGUAGACGAACCUUGUGUAGUAU